rnacentral:rRNA from 1 species
AUGGAUUUUCCACGACGGCGUGCCGAGCUCCUGGCGACUCUCUCGUCGGAGGGUCGGGCGACGUAUGAGGUGCUCAGGGCCCAGCUAGCCCGUGAUGUGGACCGGUGCUUUGCUGAGUCCAAGGCGAGGCUAGAGAAGGGCAUGGAGGCGGCGCUCGGCGACCUCCACACCAAGCUGGACAGGACUAUCGGCGACCUCCGCCAGAAGGUGCGUAGCGACCACGGCCGUAGGUGCGCCCCUGCGGCGGCAGCCUCUACUGCGACAGCGCCUGCUAUGUCGACGUCGGCUGGGAGCCAUGUCUUCCCCGACCCCAAUCACGGCCCCGACCUGUCGUCUUCGACUUCGUCAACGACGAACACGGCCAGGCCUAUGCGCGUCUCGAGCAGCAGCAUCACCACCGACGGGUCCCAUGAGUUGGAGGUUGCUGCCUCCUCCUCCGACCCCGCUCCAGCGGCAGCGGCCACGAGCAUCUCCGUGUGGAGCGCGACUGCCGUCGCCCCCGCAUCAGGCGGCGUUCCCUCCCUCGUCGCGUCGGCCACCACCCGCUCGACGAGCCCAGGAGGAGACAUCGAUGCGGCACCAGACGCCAACCCUCUGGUGUCCACGGGUCCCAUCGGCAUGCCUGCGUCCACCAUGCAGAGCGAGCCAGACCAUGUGCGUGAGACGCCCAUCACCUGUUCGACGCUUGGCCUCUACCCCGUCGCCAACGCCAUUCAGAUCAACAAGGUCCCCCUACCUGAGAUUGCUGUGUCCCCAACACGAUCUGCAGCCUUCUCCACCUCCACCUUCAUGGCUGCAGUGUCCGCCUCACUCGAUUCAGAACUUGCUCUCGCCACGCCCACCAUGUGUUCGACCGAGUGCCCUGGAGAAGAAAACAGUGAAACAAGGACCACGCCCACUUGUACAGCAGCGCCGCCGGCAUCCUCGACCAGUGCUAUUCCUGCUAUGUGUGAGGUGAGCAUAGAGGUCAAUUCCAUGGCUCUGAUGGAUAUAACCAGUUCGUCUCCAAUCCUCACAAAGGUCACAACCACCCAAGCAUUGUCGCCUACCAAGUGUUCGACAGAAGGCCUGAACGGCGAGACCAGUGUGGCUUGUCUCAAGUAUUUAGUCAGCUCACAUCACCAGUUGCAGCAGCACGUGUGGUUCGCCGAGUUCAAAACUGAAUUGAGGAAGAGCCGUGAGGAAUUGUUGGCAGCCAGGAAGGAGAUGAACUCAGUAUCCUUGCUCACAAUCAGGUUCCUGUUUCAGUGUGUUCCAGGUUAUGGGCUAUUAACAUUAUCAUGGGAUCCAGGACAACACGCAGUUGAUUCGGCUGCAACUAUUUGCGAUCAAGGUAUCCGUGCCAUUUGUCACCAGCAACUUUCUGUCCAUACUAGGCUACAGAUUGCAUGGUCAGUCGUUUGGGAAUUCUCUUGUGUUGGAUCAAGGAGGACUGCUGUCAGCUUCUUAUUCGAUUCAGCUGGUGGUUUGGCAGUUGUUUUAUUCAGUACACGGUGCUCGGUUCUUGCAUAUUGUGUUGCCAAUAUAGUACCAUUUUCUGAUCCAGUUGAGUCAGAUUCUACUCCGCAAAUAAUUGAGAUGAGGCUUGCUACUCGCAUCUUUAGUCACAAGACAGCACCAGCAGUCUCGAAGCAGAAGGAAGUGUGUCAGAAUCUCAGAUGA